rnacentral:rRNA from 1 species
AGAUUGAACGCUGGCGGCAGGCCUAACACAUGCAAGUCGAGCGGUAGAGAGGUGCUUGCAUCUCUUGAGAGCGGCGGACGGGUGAGUAAUGCCUAGGAAUCUGCCUAGUGGUGGGGGAUAACGUUCGGAAACGGACGCUAAUACCGCAUACGUCCUACGGGAGAAAGCGGGGGACCUUCGGGCCUCGCGCCAUUAGAUGAGCCUAGGUCGGAUUAGCUAGUUGGUGAGGUAAUGGCUCACCAAGGCGACGAUCCGUAACUGGUCUGAGAGGAUGAUCAGUCACACUGGAACUGAGACACGGUCCAGACUCCUACGGGAGGCAGCAGUGGGGAAUAUUGGACAAUGGGCGAAAGCCUGAUCCAGCCAUGCCGCGUGUGUGAAGAAGGUCUUCGGAUUGAAAGCACUUUAAGUGGAGGAAGGUUGUAACCUAAUACGUUGCAACUUUGACGUUACGACAGAAUAAGCAACCGGCUAACUCGUGCCAGCAGCCGACGG